GUCUACAGCCAUGCCAUCCUGAACGUGCCCGAUCCCGUCUGAUCUCAGAAGCUAAGCAGGGUCGGGCCUGGUUAGUACUGGGAUGGGAGACCACCUAGGAAGACCAGGGGCUGUAGGCA
rnacentral:rRNA from 1 species